AAUAAUGACUCAAUUGACUACAAGUACAAAGAAUGAAAUUCAAGUGUUUCCUACUCAAGUUGGUAAAGCGUAUCUCAAUUGGACGUAUUUAUGCUAAAAGGAACUAUGUGCAUAUAGGAUUUACGUAGACCAUAGUUCCCUUUAGCAUAUAUACGUCCAAUUGGAAAGUUUGGACAAAGAUGGGGAACCGCCAAGGACUAUUAGCUUCAGAUAAACUCGCAUAUCAUUUUAGAUCAAGCGCAGUAUUAACCGAUUUCUUGUCCAUCUCUGUUCGCAAUCCAGGACUACAAAUGAAGAUGAUGCUGGGAUCGCAGGUCUUAUCACUUUUACUCGUUUUUAUCCUCGUCGCAAAUGAGGCAGCGCAUAUUCCUGAACCUACUCUCACGGAGGAAAUCCAAAAGGAUGCCGUCUUCCCAAGAAGUUCAGAAAUGGCGUUUUUCGGUCUUUUUAACCAUUCAUGGUCGAUCGGCGUUUCUUGUGACGACGAAACUCUGAAGUACCAGGCAGUAAUCAGCUCCGAAACUGUCUCGCGAGUGACAUUUCCUCAAAACGACACACAGAGUGACAAAAUCAUCAACCGUUGCGAGUUCGUCGACAAACUGGCUAAAUUUUGGGGCGGUUACGUGUACAUCGAGAACGGAAUUCCUCCGUUCACCACAACCAUUACAGUCGCCAUUAUUCCUCAAUCAUACUACGGAUCAUUCAAAUUCCUAAUUAAAUGUUACGUUGUCGAUUCGCUUAUGACGAGUGGAUGUCUUCCAAUUUCAAAUGAUCUUGAAACGGCACGGAAAGAUGAGGGGAAACUAAGCCGUGGCAAAAGUUGAAAGUCUAAGACAACCAGGGGGAGGGGGCGUACACCGAGAGAAAACUUCGGCGUAUAUGGAACAUACAUGCUUUCAGUCCACGUAACUGAAGUGUUCGGUCAUAGAGACCUAAUGCCACAUCAGCUGUUUAUCGUUAUUCACACUAAAAAUUCCGGCUGUUUAAACCUGAGUUCGGUACGUGCGACCAAAAACUUCAGUUGCGGGGAUCGAAAACUUCAACGUUCCACAUAUGAAUUGAAUAAAAGCAGUUCUUGUGACCGAAGUUUUUUUAUUCGGUGUACAGCGGAGAGCGUAAAUAACGGGAUCCUUAACGCAAUAACGCAUCCCUGUCUCUCUCAGAGAAUAAACCAAGCUUAAAUUCUCACAGUUCAAAGUUUCUUAAAAGUUCCAAGACACAGGAGAUAUAAUGAGCUUCAAUUUCACCUCGUUGCACAUUAAUUUAAGUUUUUGGACUCGAGACAGUUGUUGAACUGUUAGCUGAUUAUGGUUCCUCCUUAAUAAAAGUCUAUGAGUCAGCGGCAUCACUCCUAUAAGAAAGUCAAAAAUUGUGGAAAGCUAGACAUAGUUUAAAAUUAAUGUACUGAAAGCAUAUUUGGCCAGCAUCGGAUGGUCCCGUUGUUUAAUUUCACGUAAACGUAUGUCAAAAGCCCGGGAAUAGGAGAUUUAGAAGAAGGGGGAAUAGAAGAAAAUUUAUGGAACAUGGGCACCGCUCUCCUGAGGAGUUUAUCUCGCAUCACAAUUUUCAAGGAACGUUUAGAAAUUAUGGCCGCAGUGUGUGGGAGUUAAGAGUGCAAAAGUUUGCAAAUUUUAGAAUAAACUUAAGAGGUUUGAGCCGAUUUGGCUGAUAGAAGCCUACAAGCGUUAGUUAAAAUACUCAAUUUGGUUGGUUGGAAAUGUUACUUGUAUAUUUUGAAAUAUACGUGAUCAAAAAUUGUUGACUCGUUUCCUUUUUUCUUC
rnacentral:lncRNA from 1 species